CGUCCCGCCGGCGACCGGCGCACGGGUGAGUAACACGUAUGCAACCUGGCCGUGACAGAUGGAUAACCGGGAGAAAUCCCGCCUAAUACAACAUAAUGCCGGGAGGGGACAUCCCCUGCCGGCCAAAGGGGGCGACCCCGGUCACGGAUGGGCAUGCGGCGCAUUAGGUAGUUGGUGGGGCAACGGCCCACCAAGCCGACGAUGCGUAGGGGUUCUGAGAGGAAGGUCCCCCACAUUGGAACUGAGACACGGUCCAAACUCCUACGGGAGGCAGCAG
rnacentral:rRNA from 1 species